rnacentral:rRNA from 1 species
GACGAACGCUGGCGGCGGGCUUAACACAUGCAAGUCGAACGGAAAGGCCCUGCUUUUGUGGGGUUCUCGAGUGGCGAACGGGUGAGUAACACGUGAGUAACCUGCCCUUGACUUUGUGAUAACUUCAGGAAACUGGGGCUAAUACCUGAUAGGAGCUCCUGCUGCAUGGUGGGGGUUGGAAAGUUUCGGCGGUUGGGGAUGUACUCGCGGCUUAUCAGCUUGUUGGUGGGGUAGUGGCUUACCAAGGCUUUGACGGGUAGCCGGCCUGAGAGGGUUACCGGCCACAUUGGGACUGAGAUACGGCCCAGACUCCUACGGGAGGCAGCAGUGGGGAAUAUUGCACAAUGGGCGGAAGCCUGAUGCAGCAACGCCGCGUGCGGGAUGAAGGCCUUCGGGUUGUAAACCGCUUUCGCCUGUGACGAAGCGUGAGUGACGGUAAUGGGUAAAGAAGCACCGGCUAACUACGUG